AUGGUGGAGUUGCAGCAACUGCGGAUACAGGAGGCGGUGGACUCAAUGGUGAAGAGUGUGGACACAGAGAAUAUCCAGAAGAUGCAGAGUCUCAUGUUCCAAUGCAGCGCCAGCUGUUGUGAGGACAGCCAGGCAUCCAUGUAGCAGGUGCACCAGUGUAUCAAGCACUGCCAUGUGCCUCUGGCUCAAGCCCAGGCUUUGGUCACCAGUGAGUUGGAGAAGUUCCAGGACCACCUGGUCCAGUGCACCAUGCAUUGCAACAACAAAGCCAAAGAUUCAAUGGAUGCUGGGAGUAAAGAACGUCAGGUGAAGCAGCAGCUGGACGGUUGUGUGACCAAGUAUGUGGAUGACCACAUGCACCUCAUCCCAACUAUGACCAAGAAGAUGAAUGAGGUUCUCUUACCCAAUGGGAAAUAAAAGUCUCUGCCAGUGCCCAUUGGGGCUGAGGGCAAGAAUGUAUUUUUUAUAAGGAAUUGGGAAUUUUAGUCUUUUAGGCAAAGUUUAUGAAUGAAGAAAUUAAGGAUGGCCAUAAGUGUAAGGCAUAUGUCACUUGCCUCCGGACACUAGUUCUUUUAUGUUUCAGUCCUAAAAAAUGAAAUGGAAAAAAAAAAAGUCCUGCUAAAUUGGGUCAGAGAUAUCACAAGAGAGUUUUAGAGCUUAUAUUUCCUGUGGCCAGUGCUUGUCCUGGCAGUAAGGAUCUCCCCUGUAACAAGCCAGAGCCCUCCAAUGUACCAGACUCUUCUUACUACAAGGAAUCAACAGGCUGGCAGGUUAGAGUUGGUGGAGUUUGAGGAGAGAUACUUUCUCUCUGUUGCCAACAUCCUGUUUACCAGAAGUGUCACCACACCAUUUUCCAUAAGCUGUGAAACAAAAUCCGUGAGGUCACUUAGAAGGGAAAAAAAGUUUUCUGGGUCUUUGUUUUCUUGGUUUUGUGUCAUUUAUACAGAGGCAUACAAGUUAAUUUUAAGAUGUGGAAUUGGGAGCAAGACUAGUUUGGAUAAAAACUUUGAAAGGUUCCUUGUAGAUCCCUAUUUCUG